CGAACGGGUGAGUAAUGCAUCGGAACGUGUCCCGUAAUGGGGGAUAACGCCGCGAAAGCGGCGCUAAUACCGCAUACGCUCUACGGAGGAAAGUGGGGGAACCGCAAGGGCCUCACGUUAGGGGAGCGGCCGAUGUCCGAUUAGCUGGUUGGUGGGGUAACGGCCCACCAAGGCGACGAUCGGUAGCUGGUCUGAGAGGAUGAUCAGCCACACUGGGACUGAGACACGGCCCAG
rnacentral:rRNA from 1 species